rnacentral:rRNA from 1 species
UUCGGCCGAUUUCUAAGAUGGACAGCGGCGAAAGGGAGAGUAAUGAGUGGAUUACCUACCCCCAGGACCGGGAUAGCUGUGGGAAACCGCAGGUAAUACCGGAUAAUAUCUCCGGAUCAAAUGGUGAGAUUCCGCCAGGGGAUGGGUCCGCUUCCUAUUAGCUUGUUGGUGGGGUAACGGCCUACCAAGGCAACAAUGGGUACCGGGUGUGAGAGCAUGGCCCGGCUCACUGGGACUGAGACACUGCCCAGACACCUACGGGUGGCUGCAGUCGAGAAUCUUCCGCAAUGGGCGAAAGCCUGACGGAGCGACGCCGCGUGCGGGAUGAAGGCCUUCGGGUUGUAAACCGCUGUCAGUUGGGAGGAAAUCUAUGGGGGUUAUCCCCCAUAGUUGACCUAUCUUCAGAGGAAGGACGGGCUAAGUUCGUGCCAUCAGCCGCGGUAAGACGAACCGUCCAAACGUUAUUCGGAAUCACUGGGCUUAAAGGGUGCGUAGGCGGCUUGGCAAGUUGGGUGUGAAAUCCCUCGGCUCAACCGAGGAACUGCGCUCAAAAACUGCCAAGCUAGAGGAA